rnacentral:rRNA from 1 species
CUACGGGGGGCAGCAGUGGGGAAUAUUGCACAAUGGGCGCAAGCCUGAUGCAGCCAUGCCGCGUGUAUGAAGAAGGCCUUCGGGUUGUAAAGUACUUUCAGCGGGGAGGAAGGGAGUAAAGUUAAUACCUUUGCUCAUUGACGUUACCCGCAGAAGAAGCACCGGCUAACUCCGUGCCAGCAGCCGCGGUAAUACGGAGGUGCAAGCGUUAAUCGGAAUUACUGGGCGUAAAGCGCACGCAGGCGGGUUGUUAAGUCAGAUGUGAAAUCCCCGGGCUCAACCUGGGAACUGCAUCUGAUACUGGCAAGCUUGAGUCUCGUAGAGGGGGGUAGAAUUCCAGGUGUAGCGGUGAAAUGCGUAGAGAUCUGGAGGAAUACCGGUGGCGAAGGCGGCCCCCUGGACGAAGACUGACGCUCAGGUGCGAAAGCGUGGGGGGCAAACAGGAUUAGAUACCCCAGUAGUC